rnacentral:rRNA from 1 species
GAUCCUGGCUCAGAUUGAACGCUGGCGGCAGGCCUAACACAUGCAAGUCGAACGGUAACAGGAAGCAGCUUGCUGCUUUGCUGACGAGUGGCGGACGGGUGAGUAAUGUCUGGGAAACUGCCUGAUGGAGGGGGGAUAACUACUGGAAACGGUAGCUAAUACCGCAUAACGUCGCAAGACCAAAGAGGGGGACCUUCGGGUCCUCUUGCCAUCGGAUGUGCCCAGAUGGGAUUAGCUUG